rnacentral:rRNA from 1 species
GUAGGUACGUUCUCGGAUUAUUGGGCGUAAGCGCGCGCAGGCGGUUUCUUAAGUCUGAUGUGAAAGCCCCCGGCUCAACCGGGGAGGGUCAUUGGAAACUGGGGAACUUGAGUGCAGAAGAGGAGAGUGGAAUUCCACGUGUAGCGGUGAAAUGUAUAGAGAUGUGGAGGAACACCAGUGGCGAAGGCGACUCUCUGGUCUGUAACUGACGCUGAGGCGCGAAAGCGUGGGGAGCGAACAGGAUUAGAUACCCUGGUAGUCCACGCCGUAAACGAUGAGUGCUAAGUGUUAGAGGGUUUCCGCCCUUUAGUGCUGCAGCAAACGCAUUAAGCACUCCGCCUGGGGAGUACGGUCGCAAGACUGAAACUCAAAGGAAUUGACGGGGGCCCGCACAAGCGGUGGAGCAUGUGGUUUAAUUCGAAGCAACGCGAAGAACCUUACCAGGUCUUGACAUCCUCUGACAACCCUAGAGAUAGGGCUUCCCCUUCGGGGGCAGAGUGACAGGUGGUGCAUGGUUGUCGUCAGCUCGUGUCGUGAGAUGUUGGGUUAAGUCCCGCAACGAGCGCAACCCUUGAUCUUAGUUGCCAGCAUUCAGUUGGGCACUCUAAGGUGACUGCCGGUGACAAACCGGAGGAAGGUGGGGAUGACGUCAAAUCAUCAUGCCCCUUAUGACCUGGGCUACACACGUGCUACAAUGGGCAGAACAAAGGGCAGCGAAGCCGCGAGGCUAAGCCAAUCCCACAAAUCUGUUCUCAGUUCGGAUCGCAGUCUGCAACUCGACUGCGUGAAGCUGGAAUCGCUAGUAAUCGCGGAUCAGCAUGCCGCGGUGAAUACGUUCCC